UCCCCCCAAUUUCCCCAUGUUUUUCCCAUGUUUAUCCCAUGUUUAUCCCAUGUUUAUCCCAUGUUUCCCCCUCAGGAGAAGAGCGAGGCGGAUCAGGAGCGGCUCCGCGCCGCCCUGGUGCUCCCCCCAUUUCCCAUGGUUUUUCCCAUGGUUUAUCCCAUGUUUUUCCCAUGGUUUAUCCCAUGUUUUUCCCCAUAUUUUCCCCCAAUUUUUCCCAUGUUUUUUCCCAAAGUUUCCCCCCAAUUUUUCAAUGUUUUUCCCCAUAUUUCCCUCCCAAUUUUUCCAUCUUUUUCCCCAUGUUUCCCCCCAAUUUCCCCAUGUUUUUCCCAUGUAUUAUCCCAUGUUUUUCCCAUGGUUUAUCCCAUGUUUAUCCCAUGUUUUUCCCAUGUUUUUCCCCCCCAGGAGAGGAGCGAGGCCAAUCAGGAGCGGCUCCGCGCCGCCCUGGUGCUCCCCCCAUUCUCCCAUGGUUUAUCCCAUGUUUUUCCCAUGGUUUAUCCCAUGUUUAUCCCAUGUUUUUCCCAUGGUUUAUCCCAUGUUUUUCCCAUGUUUCCCCCCCAGGAGAAGAGCGAGGUGGAUCAGGAGAGGCUCCGCACCGCCCUCGUGCUCCCCCCAUUUCCCAUGUUUUUCCCAUGGUUUUCCCCAUAUUUUCCCCCCAAUUUCCCCAUGUUUAUCCCAUGUUUUUCCCAUGGUUUAUCCCGUGGUUUAUCCCAUGUUUUUCCCCAUAUUUUCCCCCCAAUUUCCCCAUGUUUUUCCCAUGGUUUGUCGCAUAUUUAUCCCAUGUUUUUCCCCAUAUUUUCCCCCCAAUUUCCCCAUGGUUUAUCCCAUAUUUAUCCCAUGUUUAUCCCAUGUUUUUCCCCCCCAGGAGCGCAGCGAGGUGGAUCAGGAGCGGCUCCGCGCCAUGUUUUUCCCAUGUUUUAUCACAUAUUUAUUUCAUGUUUUUCCCAUGUUUUUCCCAUGUUUUUCCCAUGGUUUAUCCCAUAUUUAUCCCGUGUUUUUCCCCCCAGGAGCGCAGCGAGGCGGAUCAGGAGCGGCUCCGCGCCGCCCUGGUGCUCCCCCCCUUUCCCAUGGUUUAUCCCAUGGUUUAUCUGAUAUUUAUCCCAUGUUUAUCCCAUGUUUAUCCCAUGUUUCCCCCCAGGAGCGCAGCGAGGCGGAUCAGGAGCGGCUCCGCGCCGCCCUGGUGCUCCCCCCAUUUCCCAUGUUUUUGCCAUGGUUUAUUCCAUGUUUUAUCCCAUAUUUAUCCCAUGUUUUUCCCAUGUUUUUCCCCAUAUUUUCCCCCCAAUUUCCCCAUGUUUUUCCCAUGGUUUAUCCCAUGUUUUUCCCAUGGUUUAUCUCAUGUUUCCCCCUCAGGAGCGCAGCG
rnacentral:lncRNA from 1 species